CCUUUGUUGCCAGCGGUCCGGCCGGGAACUCAAAGGAGACUGCCAGUGAUAAACUGGAGGAAGGUGGGGAUGACGUCAAGUCAUCAUGGCCCUUACGACCAGGGCUACACACGUGCUACAAUGGCGCAUACAAAGAGAAGCGACCUCGCGAGAGCAAGCGGACCUCAUAAAGUGCGUCGUAGUCCGGAUUGGAGUCUGCAACUCGACUCCAUGAAGUCGGAAUCGCUAGUAAUCGUGGAUCAGAAUGCCACGGUGAAUACGUUCCCGGGCCUUGUACACACCGCCCGUCACACCAUGGGAGUGGGUU
rnacentral:rRNA from 1 species